ACACAUUGACAUAAGAGUCAUACACUCUUUUCCCCAUGGGGGCCCUGUGUGCAAUGGCUGCAAAGUCGGCCUCCUUGGGAGUGUAUUCAGUCUGUUGCCUGUAUGGGUUGCCCUAAGGGCCUUGGAGGUAGUC
ensembl:snoRNA SNORA70 Small nucleolar RNA SNORA70